UUUUCUUUCUCUUUUCUUACCUCCUUCUACUCACCCUCUAUUUAUACACAAAUUGUAAGUAAGAAAAUAUCAAAGCUCAAGUGUGAACAUCAAUAGAUGGUGGUAGUGUGAAGGCUGCUGGCUGCUGGCUGCUGGCUGCUGGCUGCUGGGUGCUGGCUGCUGGGUUGAGGUUGGUGGCUGCCAUGAGGUUGGUGGCUGCCAUGAGAUUGGUGGCUGCCUUCCUUGACCUUCUAGAAUAUUUACUAGAGGAGCUAAAUUUCUGGUCGGUUUGGAUGCUUCUAGAUGAAAUUUGGAUUCGUUUCUUCACGCAACCUGCUUGCUGGCAGAAUUCAGCUGUCAUCUUUGAAAAAUCAUAUAUCCCUCAUAUGACAUCGUUUUUGGCUGAAAUUUGGAGCGUUUAUAGAUCUUUGAGUAAGGAAUCCAACACAAUUGAGUUUGCAUCAAUUGGACUUCUGAAGCUCCAGAUAUUGAAUUUUUAAUGGGCAAAGGUCAACAUUGGCAGACUGCGAGAUUUGACUUUGAAGGAUGUGAUUUCCAUGAUCUUUCUCUUUUUAUUUUUCUUGCAUUAC
rnacentral:lncRNA from 1 species